rnacentral:rRNA from 1 species
AAACUUGAGAGUUUGAUCCUGGCUCAGAACGAACGCUGGCGGCAGGCUUAACACAUGCAAGUCGAACGCACCGCAAGGUGAGUGGCAGACGGGUGAGUAACACGU